rnacentral:misc_RNA from 1 species
GAACGGUUGGCACGCUGCCCUUUUUGUUUCUAUCAUAUGUGCCAUAGAGCGCUUUGGUGGUUUGCCUUGGGGUUCCUGUGUUGCCUACCAUGGAAAUGGUAUUUGAUUAUCUUGGAAUAAUUGUUCCAUCCAGGUCUCCUUGCGGAGAUGAUGGUGGAUCGGUGCAAUGCAUAAGUUCCACUUUAGUUUUGUCUUGUGAGAGAAAGACUACUGUGGUAUGUAAUGCAGUUGUUGUUCUUUUGGAUGCGGUGAGUGCAUGCAAUGAACGUGGCUUCGAUUGUCCCGUUUAGUUAUAAAUAUCUGGUUGCCUUAGAAUGACUUGCCCUGGUGCUUGUUGCGUUUUCCAUUGAGGAAGACAACGCUUGCACCUUGAGCGUGGUCACGAAUGGGUGCUA